rnacentral:rRNA from 1 species
GUAGGGUGCAAGCGUUAUCCGGAAUCAUUGGGCGUAAAGAGCUCGUAGGCGGUUCAGCAAGUCGGCUGUGAAAUCCCGAGGCUUAACCUCGGAACUGCAGUCGAUACUGCUGUGACUAGAGUCCCGGUAGAGGAGAAUGGAAUUCCCGGUGUAGCGGUGAAAUGCGCAGAUAUCGGGAGGAACACCAGUAGCGAAGGCGGUUCUCUGGGCCGGUACUGACGCUGAGGAGCGAAAGCGUGGGGUAGCAAACAGGAUUAGAUACCCUGGUAGUCCACGCCGUAAACGUUGGACACUAGGUGUGGCGUUCCGACCAACGGGUGCCGUGCCGAAGCUAACGCAUUAAGUGUCCCCGCCUGGGGAGUACGGCCGCAAGGCUA